UACGGAGGGAGCUAGCGUUGUUCGGAAUCACUGGGCGUAAAGGGUGCGUAGGCGGGAUCUUAAGUCAGGGGUGAAAUCCCGAGGCUCAACCUCGGAACUGCCUUUGAUACUGGGGUCCUUGAGUCCGGAAGAGGUGAGUGGAACUGCGAGUGUAGAGGUGAAAUUCGUAGAUAUUCGCAAGAACACCGGUGGCGAAGGCGGCUCACUGGUCCGGAACUGACGCUGAGGCACGACAGCGUGGGGAGCAAACAGG
rnacentral:rRNA from 1 species